rnacentral:rRNA from 1 species
CAUGCAAGUCGAGCGGUAAGGCCCUUCGGGGUACACGAGCGGCGAACGGGUGAGUAACACGUGGGUGAUCUGCCUCGCACUCUGGGAUAAGCCUGGGAAACUGGGUCUAAUACCGGAUAUGACCUUACAUCGCAUGGUGUUUGGUGGAAAGAUUUAUCGGUGCGAGAUGGGCCCGCGGCCUAUCAGCUUGUUGGUGGGGUAAUGGCCUACCAAGGCGACGACGGGUAGCCGGCCUGAGAGGGCGACCGGCCACACUGGGACUGAGACACGGCCCAGACUCCUACGGGAGGCAGCAGUGGGGAAUAUUGCACAAUGGGCGAAAGCCUGAUGCAGCGACGCCGCGUGAGGGAUGACGGCCUUCGGGUUGUAAACCUCUUUCGACAGGGACGAAGCGCAAGUGACGGUACCUGUAGAAGAAGCACCGGCCAACUACGUGCCA